rfam:Gossypium raimondii chromosome 12, whole genome shotgun sequence.
GAGUGCGAUCAUAUCAACAUUAACACAUCGAAUCUCAUCAGAAUUCCACAGAUAAGUAUGCUUGGACGAAGAUAAUAUUAAGAUGAGUGAUAUUUUGGGAAGUCCUCGUGUUGCACCCC